rnacentral:rRNA from 1 species
UACGUAGGGUGCAAGCGUUAAUCGGAAUUACUGGGCGUAAAGCGUGCGCAGGCGGUUAUGUAAGACAGAUGUGAAAUGCCCGGGCUUAACCUGGGAACUGCAUUUGUGACUGCAUGGCUAGAGUUUGGCAGAGGGGGGUAGAAUUCCACGUGUAGUGGUGAAAUGCGUAGAGAUGCGGAGGAACACCAGUGGCGAAGGCGGUCUGCUGGGUCUCAACUGACGCUGAGGCGCGAAAGCGUGGGGAGCGAACGGG